rnacentral:rRNA from 1 species
UACGUAGGGUGCAGGCGUUAAUCGGAAUUACUGGGCGUAAAGCGUGCGCAGGCGGUUUGCUAAGACAGGUGUGAAAUCCCCGGGCUUAACCUGGGAACUGCGCUUGUUACUGGCAAGCUAGAGUGUGGCAGAGGGGGGUGGAAUUCCAGGUGUAGCAGUGAAAUGCGUAGAGAUGUGGAGGAACACCGAUGGCGAAGGCAGCCUCCUGGGCCAGCACUGACGCUCAUGCACGAAAGCGUGGGGAGCAAACAGG